rnacentral:rRNA from 1 species
GAUGAACGCUGGCGGCGUGCCUAACACAUGCAAGUCGAGCGAUCUUCUUCGGAAGAGGGCGGCGGACGGGUGAGUAACGCGUGGGUAACCUGCCUCAUACACAUGGAUAACAUACCGAAAGGUAUGCUAAUACAAGAUGAUAUAAGAGAUUCGCAUGGAUUUCUUAUCAAAGCUCCGGCGGUAUGAGAUGGACCCGCGUCUGAUUAGCUAGUUGGUAAGGUAACGGCUUACCAAGGCGACGAUAAGUAGCCGACCUGAGAGGGUGAUCGGCCACAUUGGAACUGAGACACGGUCCAAACUCCUACGGGAGGCAGCAGUGGGGAAUAUUGCACAAUGGGCGAAAGCCUGAUGCAGCAACGCCGCGUGAGCGAUGAAGGCCUUCGGGUCGUAAAGCUCUGUCCUCAAGGAAGAUAAUGACGGUACUUGAGGAGGAAGCCCCGGCUAACUACGUGCCAGCAGCCGCGGUAAUACGUAGGGGGCUAGCGUUAUCCGGAUUUACUGGGCGUAAAGGGUGCGUAGGUGGUUUCUUAAGUCAGGAGUGAAAGGCUACGGCUCAACCGUAGUAAGCUCUUGAAACUGGGAAACUUGAGUGCAGGAGAGGAAAGUGGAAUUCCUAGUGUAGCGG